AUUGAACGCUGGCGGCAUGCCUUACACAUGCAAGUCGAACUGUAACAGGUCUUCGGAUGCUGACGAGUGGCGAACGGGUGAGUAAUACAUCGGAACGUGCCCGAUCGUGGGGGAUAACGAAGCGAAAGCUUUGCUAAUACCGCAUAAGAUCUACGGAUGAAAGCAGGGGACCGCAAGGCCUUGCGCGAACGGAGCGGCCGAUGGCAGAUUAGGUAGUUGGUGGGAUAAAAGCUUACCAAGCCGACGAUCUGUAGCUGGUCUGAGAGGACGACCAGCCACACUGGGACUGAGACACGGCCCAGACUCCUACGGGAGGCAGCAGUGGGGAAUUUUGGACAAUGGGCGAAAGCCUGAUCCAGCCAUGCCGCGUGCAGGAUGAAGGCCUUCGGGUUGUAAACUGCUUUUGUACGGAACGAAAAGACUCUUUCUAAUAAAGAGGGUCCAUGACGGUACCGUAAGAAUAAGCACCGGCUAACUACGUGCCAGCAGCCGCCGUAAGAC
rnacentral:rRNA from 1 species